GGCUACAGGACGAACGCUGGCGGCGUGCCUAAUACAUGCAAGUCGAACGAACGGAUAAAGAGCUUGCUCUUUUGAAGUUAGUGGCGGACGGGUGAGUAACACGUGGGUAACCUGCCUCACAGCUGGGGAUAACAUCGAGAAAUCGAUGCUAAUACCGAAUGUGCUGAACAUCAUAAGAUGUUCAAGUGAAAGACGGUUUCGGCUGUCACUGUGAGAUGGACCCGCGCUGGAUUAGCUAGUUGGUAAGGUAAUGGCUUACCAAGGCGACGAUCCAUAGCCGACCUGAGAGGGUGAUCGGCCACAUUGGGACUGAGACACGGCCCAAACUCCUACGGGAGGCAGCAGUAGGGAAUCUUCGGCAAUGGACGAAAGUCUGACCGAGCAACGCCGCGUGAGCGAAGAAGGCCUUCGGGUCGUAAAGCUCUGUUGUUAGAGAAGAACAUGGGUGAGAGUAACUGUUCACCCCUUGACGGUAUCUAACCAGAAAGCCACGGCUAACUACGUG
rnacentral:rRNA from 1 species